AAUGACUAUAUGUAUGUCAAAACAAUACCAAAAGGUCAACCCUAUUCGCAAUAUAUACUUAGCCAUAGACUUGACCUUGUUAUAUAUUCUCAUCUACUUCUACUCACAUCUUGUGAUGUCAAAACACCAUAAUCUAAUAAUAAGUAUAAUGGUUACAGCGAUUAGUAAUUACGUGAUAGUGGUAGUCUUAGUAAUGAUCAUGUACUGGUAAAGAUAACAGUGGCUAAGUGGUAAUAACGGUAGUCAAGUCGUGGUGGUGGUGAUAGCGAUAGUGGUAACAUGAUGGUGAUAGUUG
rnacentral:misc_RNA from 1 species